rnacentral:rRNA from 1 species
UACGUAGGGUCCGAGCGUUGUCCGGAAUUACUGGGCGUAAAGAGCUCGUAGGUGGUUUGUCGCGUUGUUCGUGAAAACUCACAGCUUAACUGUGGGCGUGCGGGCGAUACGGGCAGACUUGAGUACUGCAGGGGAGACUGGAAUUCCUGGUGUAGCGGUGAAAUGCGCAGAUAUCAGGAGGAACACCGGUGGCGAAGGCGGGUCUCUGGGCCGAUAUCGACGCUGAGGAGCGAAAGCGUGGGGAGCGAACAGG